UACGUAGGUGGCAAGCGUUGUCCGGAUUUAUUGGGCGUAAAGUGAGCGCAGGCGGUUCCUUAAGUCUGAUGUGAAGGCCCACGGCUCAACCGUGGAAGGUCAUUGGAAACUGGGGAACUUGAGUGCAGAAGAGGAGAGUGGAAUUCCAUGUGUAGCGGUGAAAUGCGUAGAUAUAUGGAGGAACACCAGUGGCGAAGGCGACUCUCUGGUCUGUAACUGACGCUGAGGCUCGAAAGCGUGGGGAGCAAACAGGAUUAGAUA
rnacentral:rRNA from 1 species